rnacentral:rRNA from 1 species
ACUAUUGUCACGGGUUACCGCGGCUGCUGGCACGGAGUUACGCCGGUGCUUCUUCUGUGAGUGAUGUCCUUCCUGCCGGUUAUUGACCCGCAGGCCUUCUUCCUCACUGAAAGUGCUUUACAACCGAAGGCCUUCUUCACACACGCGGCAUGGCUGGAUCAGGGUUGCCCCCAUUGUCCAAUAUUCCCCACUGCUGCCUCCCGUAGGAGUCUGGGCCGUGUCUCAGUCCCAGUGUGGCUGAUCAUCCUCUCAGACCAGCUACCGGAUCGUCGCCUUGGUGAGCCGUUACCUCACCAACCAG